rnacentral:rRNA from 1 species
GACCCCAGGUCAGGCGGGGCU